rnacentral:tRNA from 1 species
GUGGGUGUAGCUCAGCUGGUUAGAGCGCCAGACUGUGACUCUGGAUGUCGCGGGUUCGAAUCCCGUCACUCACC